rnacentral:rRNA from 1 species
UACGGAGGGUGCGAGCGUUGUCCGGAAUCAUUGGGCGUAAAGGGCGCGUAGGCGGCCCGGUCAGUCUUUGGUGAAAGCGCGGGGCUCAACCCUGCGUCGGCCAGGGAUACUGCCGCGGCUCGAGCACUGUAGAGGCAGGCGGAAUUCCGGGUGUAGCGGUGGAAUGCGUAGAGAUCCGGAAGAACACCGGUGGCGAAGGCGGUCUGCUGGGCAGUUUUGCUGACACUGAGGCGCGACAGCGUGGGGAGCAAACAGG